rnacentral:lncRNA from 1 species
AUGGGCUCAUCGUCGCUCCUCUUUUCUUCUCCGAAACCACACACAACCGUCUCCAUUCGUUACAGCUCAUCUCAUGCUUCGCCAUCAUUUCGUCUCGACCUCUCUCAUCUCCAAUCUUCGUCGCGGCCUCCGCGACCUUUGUCUCACAGAGACAAUGUCCGGCGCUUCUUCGAUUUUGAUUCAGUGAUGAAGAGUGGAGCGAGGAAGAUGAUGAAGGUGUUGUGUUGUUAUGGAGAGAGCAGGGGAAGUUGA